UCCCUGGUAGUCCAGUGGCUAAGAUUCUCUGCUCCUAAAGGAGAGGUCCUGGGUUCAAUUCCCAGUCAGGGAA